rnacentral:rRNA from 1 species
UGCAGUCGAACGAUGAAGCCCAGCUUGCUGGGUGGAUUAGUGGCGAACGGGUGAGUAACACGUGAGUAACCUGCCCUUGACUCUGGGAUAAGCGUUGGAAACGACGUCUAAUACCGGAUACGAGCUUCCACCGCAUGGUGAGUUGCUGGAAAGAAUUUUGGUCAAGGAUGGACUCGCGGCCUAUCAGCUUGUUGGUGAGGUAACGGCUCACCAAGGCGACGACGGGUAGCCGGCCUGAGAGGGUGACCGGCCACACUGGGACUGAGACACGGCCCAGACUCCUACGGGAGGCAGCAGUGGGGAAUAUUGCACAAUGGGCGAAAGCCUGAUGCAGCAACGCCGCGUGAGGGACGACGGCCUUCGGGUUGUAAACCUCUUUUAGCAGGGAAGAAGCGAAAGUGACGGUACCUGCAGAAAAAGCACCGGCUAACUACGUGCCAGCAGCCGCGGUAAUACGUAGGGUGCAAGCGUUGUCCGGAAUUAUUGGGCGUAAAGAGCUCGUAGGCGGUUUGUCGCGUCUGCUGUGAAAUCCCGAGGCUCAACCUCGGGUCUGCAGUGGGUACGGGCAGACUAGAGUGCGGUAGGGGAGAUUGGAAUUCCUGGUGUAGCGGUGGAAUGCGCAGAUAUCAGGAGGAACACCGAUGGCGAAGGCAGAUCUCUGGGCCGCUACUGACGCUGAGGAGCGAAAGGGUGGGGAGCAAACAGGCUUAGAUACCCUGGUAGUCCACCCCGUAAACGUUGGGCGCUAGAUGUGGGGACCAUUCCACGGUUUCCGUGUCGUAGCUAACGCAUUAAGCGCCCCGCCUGGGGAGUACGGCCGCAAGGCUAAAACUCAAAGGAAUUGACGGGGGCCCGCACAAGCGGCGGAGCAUGCGGAUUAAUUCGAUGCAACGCGAAGAACCUUACCAAGGCUUGACAUAUACGAGAACGGGCCAGAAAUGGUCAACUCUUUGGACACUCGUAAACAGGUGGUGCAUGGUUGUCGUCAGCUCGUGUCGUGAGAUGUUGGGUUAAGUCCCGCAACGAGCGCAACCCUCGUUCUAUGUUGCCAGCACGUCAUGGUGGGAACUCAUGGGAUACUGCCGGGGUCAACUCGGAGGAAGGUGGGGACGACGUCAAAUCAUCAUGCCCCUUAUGUCUUGGGCUUCACGCAUGCUACAAUGGCCAGUACAAAGGGCUGCAAUACCGUAAGGUGGAGCGAAUCCCAAAAAGCUGGUCCCAGUUCGGAUUGAGGUCUGCAACUCGACCUCAUGAAGUCGGAGUCGCUAGUAAUCGCAGAUCAGCAACGCUGCGGUGAAUACGUUCCCGGGCCUUGUACACACCGCCCGUCAAGUCAUGAAAGUCGGUAACACCCGAAGCCAGUGGCCUAACCGCAAGGAUGGAGCUGUCUAAGGUGGGAUC